rnacentral:misc_RNA from 1 species
AAAGUCGUAACAAGGUCUCCGUUGGUGAACCAGCGGAGGGAUCAUUACUGAGUGUAACAACUCCCAAACCCACUGUGAACAUACCACUGUUGCUUCGGCGGACACGCCCCGGGCGCCCCCCCCUCCCCUCCCAAGGGGGGGCGGGCGGUGCCCCGGACACAGGCGCCCGCCGGGGACCCCCCCAAACCACUGUAUUUUACCCCCUCUACGGGGCGUAUCUUCUGAGUGUGAUUUCCACAAAUCAACUUUAAAACUUUCAACAACGGAUCUCUUGGCUCUG